rnacentral:lncRNA from 1 species
GUGAGAAUAGACAGAUUAUGGUGUGUGAGUGUUGUUUAGUACAGAGAGUGGUCGGAUUGAAAGAGAACAGAGUGAAGAGAGUAAGUGAGAAUUAAAGAGACUGCAAUGGAGAAUAAGAGAGAUUAAGUGAGAUUUGAGAGAGUAUGAGAGAGAUUCUUGUAACCAGAGAUUAGGGAGAGUAUAAGAGACUUGAGAAUGGUGAAGAAGAAAGGGGAAACUCCCCCAUUCAGCUUGAUUUCGUAAUGGUUACAAUGGGGUGGCUUUAUAGCCAAAUUACAAGUUGCAAGUGAUUAAACAAUUGUUAAAGUACAGAUUUACUAAACUAAUACUAUUGUAGGGUUUCUGAUGGAGCCAGGAGGAUGCAGCCAAGGAGAAUCUCGACCAGAGGGAGUAGAGAGUGACAGGAGAGAGAUGGGCACAGUCUGGUUGGGUGAAAGUGACAGCAGGCUCAUCUCCUUAUGCACAUGUGACUUUUAUCUUAAUUAAUUCUCCAACUUGCCAGAUCUCUCUCCAACGGUCUCACACUUAAUUUAAACUUCA